GACGAACGCUGGCGGCGUGCUUAACACAUGCAAGUCGAGCGGUAAGGCCCUUUCGGGGGCACACGAGCGGCGAACGGGUGAGUAACACGUGGGUGACCUGCCCUCAGCUCUGGGAUAAGCCCGGGAAACUGGGUCUAAUACUGGAUAUGACUCCAUGACGCAUGUUGUGGGGUGGAAAGCCUUGUGCGGCUGGGGAUGGGCCCGCGGCCUAUCAGCUUGUUGGGGGGUGAUGGCCUACCAAGGCGACGACGGGUAGCCGGCCUGAGAGGGCGACCAGCCACACUGGGACUGAGACACGGCCCAGACUCCUACGGGAGGCAGCAGUGGG
rnacentral:rRNA from 1 species